rnacentral:rRNA from 1 species
CGCCAGACUCCUACGGGAGGCAGCAGUGAGGAAUAUUGGUCAAUGGCCGGAAGGCUGAACCAGCCAAGCCGCGUGAGGGAGGAAGGCGCAGAGCGUCGCAGACCUCUUUUGCCGGGGGACAAAAGGCCGGACUCGUCCGGUCCUGAGGGUACCCGGAGAAAAAGCAUCGGCUAACUCCGUGCCAGCAGCCGCGGUAAUACGGAGGAUGCGAGCGUUAUCCGGAUUUAUUGGGUUUAAAGGGUGCGUAGGCGGAACAUUAAGUCAGCGGUAAAAUCGAGGGGCUCAACCCCUUUAAGCCGUUGAAACUGGUGAUCUUGAGUGGGCGAGAAGUAUGCGGAAUGCGUGGUGUAGCGGUGAAAUGCAUAGAUAUCACGCAGAACUCCGAUUGCGAAGGCAGCAUACCGGCGCCCGACUGACGCUGAGGCACGAAAGCGUGGGGAUCGAACAGGAUUAGAUACCCCAGUAC